GUGGCUGUAGCUCAGUGGCAGAGCACUUGCCUAGUAUGUGUGAGGCACUGGGUUCGAUCCUCAGCACCACA
rnacentral:tRNA from 1 species